CAGUCGCCGCGGUAAAACGUAGGUGGCAAGCGUUGCUCGGAAUGACUGGGCGUAAAGGGCGCGUAGGCGGCACACACAGUCAGGCGUGAAAUUCCUGGGCUUAACCUGGGGGCUGCGUUUGAUACAUGUGAGCUAGAGGAUGGAAGAGGCUCGUGGAAUUCCCAGUGUAGAGGUGAAAUUCGUAGAUAUUGGGAAGAACACCGGUGGCGAAGGCGGCGAGCUGGUCCAUUACUGACGCUGAGGCGCGAAAGCGUGGGGAGCAAACAGGAUUAGAUACCCAGUAGUCCCUGUCUCUUAUACA
rnacentral:rRNA from 1 species